AAGGGGAUAGCGAUAUUCCUUUGAGUUUAGAUCUGUAAGAGUAUAAAAUGAGGCACGAUGAUCGAUCGAAUACAUUAUUCAGCAACCAUGGGGCAGAUAAGAACUCUUCAACGUGUUCAAUUGAUAUUCUUCGUUAGUAUCGUCGCUAGCGUCGUUAUCAACGCUCUUCCGUCACCAUCACCGAACUCGAACUUCCCGUUUCCGUUCCCAAGGAGUAACUUCCCGUUUCCAGACAACAACUUCCCGUUCCCAAGGAGUAACUUCCCGUUUCCAGAAAGCAACUUCCCGUUCCCAAGGAGUAACUUCCCGUUCCCGUACGUCGUUUAUUAGACCGUUGAGCCCUAAUCAAUACUGUAUGUAGAUUUGGAAUAACAGCUAAUAUGUUUGCCUCCUGAUUCAUGAAUUUAGUGCACGUGUAUGUGCGCAGCACGCACAAUAAAAUUAUAACAUACGAGUAAAAAAGCUCACUAUACAUUCAUGUCAACAUUUCAUUUUCAAUAUGUACAUACGUGAGAUCACAAAUUAAAGCAUACAAACUCUCUGUCCACUUUUGGAUGAACCGUUUUCAAAAACAUUGCCGUUGUUAUAAAACACAAUAUUUAUUUGUCAUUUCGCUUUAAAUACAAAGUUGCAAC